rnacentral:rRNA from 1 species
UACGUAGGGUGCAAGCGUUGUCCGGAAUUAUUGGGCGUAAAGGGCUCGUAGGCGGUCUGUUGCGUCAGGAGUGAAAACUCGGGGCUUAACCCCGAGCCUGCUUCUGAUACGGGCAGACUAGAGGUAUGCAGGGGAGAACGGAAUUCCUGGUGUAGCGGUGAAAUGCGCAGAUAUCAGGAGGAACACCGAUGGCGAAGGCAGGUCUCUGGGCCACUACUGACGCUGAGAAGCGAAAGCAUGGGGAGCGAACAGG